rnacentral:lncRNA from 1 species
UAACAUUAUCUAGGGGAACUACAGCUUAAAUCCUGUCCUGGGCUCAGACCCACCUAUCUUAACUCGAGGCUUAUCUCAGUCUUCUCAUAGGUAUCCGGAUUCUUUUUUGUUGCAAACAACCCUUCUGACAUGGUCUCCUCAGAGUCAUAGCUCUUCGGUGUCUGCACAUCCCACAUAGAACUAUGCUGUGCAUUACUGCCGCU